rnacentral:misc_RNA from 1 species
GAUGAAGAACGCAGCGAAAUGCGAUAAGUAAUGUGAAUUGCAGAAUUCAGUGAAUCAUCGAAUCUUUGAACGCACCUUGCACCCUUUGGCAUUCCGAAGGGUAUGCUCGUUUGAGUGUCAUUGUACUCUCACACUUCCAAUUCUUUGGAUUGGGAGCGGUGGACUUGGGUGCUGCUGCUUACCGUGGCUCACCUCAAAUGUGUUAGUGCAACCGUUGGUUAGACAUAGUACAGCGUGAUAAGUAUCUUCGCUGGCGCCUCACCAGAGGGUGGCUGAUCAGGGCUUUGUGCUUCCAAUCGUCUUCGGACAAUCGCUGACAACUUGACCUCAAAUCGAGUAGGACUACCCGCUGAACUUAAGCAUAUCAAUAAGCGGAGGA